UACGAAGGGGGCUAGCGUUGCUCGGAAUCACUGGGCGUAAAGCGCACGUAGGCGGAUUGCUAAGUCAGGGGUGAAAUCCUGGAGCUCAACUCCAGAACUGCCUUUGAUACUGGCGAUCUUUGAGUCCGGGAGAGGUGAGUGGAACUCCGAGUGUAGAGGUGAAAUUCGUAGAUAUUCGGAAGAACACCAAUGGCGAAGGCAGCUCGCUGGGACGUGACUGACGCUGAGACGCGAAAGCGUGGGGAGCAAACAGG
rnacentral:rRNA from 1 species